AGCAGGUCUCUACUAACAUACAAUACGAAAUGGUGGCGAGAAAAGCCUACGGCAACAGCCAGAGAUUUGAGGAAGCUCAACUUAGAUGGGAAACCAUACACACCCCCACGAGACAAGAGGACAACGAAUAGUCCCCAAACCACUAGAGCGACCCCCCAAGGAGAUUUAACAAUACAACAAGUAUAUGCCCCCAGGCGUACAAGAUGGAGC